GUGGGGAAUUUUGGACAAUGGGCGAAAGCCUGAUCCAGCCAUGCCGCGUGCAGGAUGAAGGCCUUCGGGUUGUAAACUGCUUUUGUACGGAACGAAAAGACUCCUUCUAAUAAAGGGGGUCCAUGACGGUACCGUAAGAAUAAGCACCGGCUAACUACGUGCCAGCAGCCGCGGUAAUACGUAGGGUGCAAGCGUUAAUCGGAAUUACUGGGCGUAAAGCGUGCGCAGGCGGUUAUAUAAGACAGAUGUGAAAUCCCCGGGCUCAACCUGGGAACUGCAUUUGUGACUGUAUAGCUAGAGUACGGUAGAGGGGGAUGGAAUUCCGCGUAUAGCAGUGAAAUGCGUAGAUAUGCGGAGUAACACCGAUGGCGAAGGCAAUCCCCUGGACCUGUACUGACGCUCAUGCACGAAAGCGUGGGGAGCAAACAGGAUUAGAAACCCUAGUAGUCC
rnacentral:rRNA from 1 species